UCUCUCCGUCCCCCUGAAUCAUCGACCCAAAAUAUCUGACACUGUCCCUCUUGACGAUGACCUGAGAUCCAAUCAUCACGUCCCUGCCUACUUCGCUCGGCUCGGCGCUAAACUUGCACUCCAGGUAUACUGUCUUAGAUCUGCUAAUUUUGAAACCUUUAGACUCGAGAUUCUAUCUCCAUACCUCUAACCUCUCACUAACACCGACCCUCGUCUCAUCUAUCAAGACUAUGUCAUCAGCAAAUAGCAUACACCAAGG
rnacentral:lncRNA from 1 species